GAUGAACGCUGGCGGCGUGCCUAAUACAUGCAAGUCGAGCGAACGGACUAGAAGCUUGCUUCUCUGAUGUUAGCGGCGGACGGGUGAGUAACACGUGGAUAACCUACCUAUAAGACUGGGAUAACUUCGGGAAACCAUAGCUAAUACCGGAUAAUAUUUUGAACCGCAUGGUUCAAAAGUGAAAGACGGUCUUGCUGUCACUUAUAGAUGGAUCCGCGCUGCAUUAGCUAGUUGGUAAGGUAACGGCUUACCAAGGCAACGAUGCAUAGCCGACCUGAGAGGGUGAUCGGCCACACUGGAACUGAGACACGGUCCAGACUCCUACGGGAGGCAGCAGUAGGGAAUCUUCCGCAAUGGGCGAAAGCCUGACGGAGCAACGCCGCGUGAGUGAUGAAGGUCUUCGGAUCGUAAAACUCUGUUAUUAGGGAAGAACAUAUGUGUAAGUAACUGUGCACAUCUUGACGGUACCUAAUCAGAAAGCCACGGCUAACUACGCG
rnacentral:rRNA from 1 species